rnacentral:rRNA from 1 species
GACAUAUACAGGAAUAUGGCAGAGAUGUCAUAGCCGAAAGGUCCGUAUACAGGUGGUGCAUGGUUGUCGUCAGCUCGUGUCGUGAGAUGUUGGGUUAAGUCCCGCAACGAGCGCGACCCUCGUUCUGUGUUGCCAGCAUUUAGUUGGGGACUCACAGGAGACUGCCGGGGUUAACUCGGAGGAAGGUGGGGAUGACGUCAAAUCAUCAUGCCCCUUAUGUCUUGGGCUGCACGCAUGCUACAAUGGCUGGUACAAACGGCUGCAAUACCGCAAGGUGGAGCGAAUCCGAGAAAGCCAGUCUCAGUUCGGAUUGGGGUCUGCAACUCGACCCCAUGAAGUCGGAGUUGCUAGUAAUCGUAGAUCAGCAACGCUACGGUGAAUACGUUCCCGGGGCUUGUACACACCGCCCGUCACGUCACGA